UCCUACGGGAGGCAGCAGUAGGGAAUAUUGGACAAUGGGGGCAACCCUGAUCCAGCCAUUCCGCGUGCAGGAAUAAGGCCCUAUGGGUCGUAAACUGCUUUUGUAUGGGAAAAAAUCAUCUUACGUGUAAGGUGUUGAUGGUACCAUGAGAAUAAGGAUCGGCUAACUUCGUGCCAGCAGCCGCGGUAAU
rnacentral:rRNA from 1 species